rnacentral:lncRNA from 13 species
CACAGAAUUACAGAUAUACUCAACUAUUUCAGGAUUUACUAAAAGUACAAGAGAUUGUGUUGAAUUUUUAUUAAAUAGAGUUUAUAAAUCAAAUUGAACAUUCUCCAAUUCUGGGCUGUGUUUCCAUAGGUUUACAAUCUAUAGGUAGUGAAAUGCUCACCUAUACUUUAGGAAAUAAAAACCACAACAUUUUGCAAAGAUUGAAUAAAUGAUCAUUCGAAGCAAAAGCAUGCAGUUCAAAAGCUAAACCUCCCAUUGGAGAACAGAAAAUUUAAUGAGCUUUUAAUGGAAUGCAAUGCUCAGAGUAGUAAAUUAUUUGUUAGUUGACGAUGCAAUCAGCAUGCUGAUUAAGGUUGCUUGGUUUUUUACUAAACAUUAACUGAAUGAAAACGGGUAGUCCUUGUUCUGCUUGGGGGGCUUUAAGGAAGCAAAUGGACUUUCAGAACAGAGAUUGUCAAUAAAGGAAUACCCAGCUCCAGUUCUGGAUAUGUCCUCUGAGAAGGUGCUCAUGACACCAUCCACACCAGAAGUUGAAGCAGAUACUGAGGGAAGGUUCCACGGCAGCUGAGUGUGGACAAACUAAUCACUGAAUUUCCUUGAUGCAGAGCUGAUAACCUCUCUGGAGUUGGAUGGAGGCCUGUG